rnacentral:rRNA from 1 species
UGAAAAUUUAAUUUAUAAUAUUUAAGUAGUAUUAGUUAAGAUCUUGAAAUUUAAAAAAUUUGGCGGUAUUUUAGUCUAUUCAGAGGAACCUGUUUUGUAAUCGAUAGUCCACGAUGGAUCUUACUUAAAUUUGUUUUUAUAGCUUAUAUAUCGUCGUUAAUGAAUAUUUUAUAAGAAUAUUAAUUUUCUUAAUUUUUUAUGUUAAAUAAUAUCAGAUCAAGAUGUAGUUUAUAUUUAAGUUUAUAAUGGGUUACAUUUAUUUUAUUAUAUUGGAUUAAAAUUUUUAAUAGUUUUAUGAAAUUGGAUUUGAUAGUAAAUUUAUAUAGAUUGAUAAAUUGAUAAUAGCUCUAAAAUAUG